rnacentral:lncRNA from 1 species
GAAGGAACUGUGCAAAUGUAAUUAAAGUAUCAGAUCUGAUUUUAAAAUAUAAAAUUAUUUGAGUGAUCCUAAGCUAACAACUCUGAAUCUUUAAAUUGACUGUAGAGAUCAUAGUCAGAAGUCAGAAUUUCAAAGUGUGAAAAAAAUUCAAUGAGAAGAAAAUUCUCUUUCUAGCUUUUAAAAUGGAAGGGGUGGCAUAAAAAGGAAUGCUGGAGUUAUUUAGGGUUGACAGCAGCCCCUAUCUGAUAGCUAGCAAAGAAAUGAGGACCUCAGUGCUACAACUGCAAGUAACUGAGUAUGACCAACCAACUGAAGGAGCUUGGAAUCUGAUUCUUCACCAGAGCCUCCAGAUAUUGUAUUGAAAAUCAGAUGAGGCCAGGCACAGUGGCCCACAGCUGUAAUCCUAGCACUUUGGGAGGCCUAGGUGGGCGGAUCGCUUGAGGUCAGGAGUUCGAGACCAGCCUGGCCAACAUGGUGAAACCCCGUCUCUACUACAAAUACAAAAAUUAGCUGGGCAUGUUGUUGGGUGCCUGUAAUCCCAGCUACUCUGGAGGCUGAGGCAGGAUAAUUGCUUGAACCUCGGAGAUGGAGGUUGCAGUGAGCCAAGAUCGCACCACUGGACUCCUGCCAGGGUGACUGAGUAAGACUCCGUCUAAAAAAUAAAUAAAUAAAUAAUCAGAUAAAAUAAAUUUUAAAUGUAAUAUUCUCUUACAUAAAUUUUCAUGUGAAAAUUCAGUUUUCUCUAAAUAAACCAAUAGUGUAAAUAUAUCAUCAGUUUUAUCUGUGAAGAAUUUUUCAAGAAAUGUGAUUCUUUCAUAAAAUCAGAGCCAGUUAGAGCUCCCGAGUAAAUCACUGACUUGAGUUUCAAUAGCAUCUAAGGGACUCUUAGUAAUGAUGUUUUAGCAAAUUAUUAAAUACUCCUGUUUAAAAUAUUUAGGGAAAAAGUAUAAGCAAUAAAUCUACUUAAAUGUCAAGUAUAUGGACAUCACAACUAUUAUAAAUAACAAUAAUGCGUGGAUAGUCUCAUAUGCAGUUUUCUUCUAGGCUCAGAAUAUAUUAAAAUCUUGAAAUCUGACAACAUUCAGAAUAGAGUCUAUUAUUUUGUAUAUCUAUUUUAAAAAUAAAUAUGAAAGGAUUGGAUUUAUUUGCUCUAUAAAUAUGUGAGUAAUACAGUUCCUGAAGAAUUAUGAUCUGAAUACUAUGGGAGUAUAUAUGUCAUUUCAGCAACACAUCUACAUUGUACAUUUGUGUAAAUUGGUUUGUAAGUUUAUGUAUAUGUGUAUAACUCUUUUCUCCUCAUGAACGUAUAUCUUUGGAGAAUUUAAACAUUCAUUUCAAAACUUUCUGUAUGUAUUACGUGAUUAAAAUUUAUAAUAACAUAUAUAGUGUACAAAGAGAUAGAUUCCACAGAAACUAUUCUAUUACAAAAUCUCUACAGCUAAAGUUGGCUGACUUAGUAGGUAUGAAGUUGUGAUUCAUUCAAAUAAAUAUCUUCAAAUAAAUUGAUGGAAGGGACAAUGGUGGACAUGUUAAAGGAUAGAGUCAGGAAACAAAUGAACUUUUGAACCAUACUGACCUUUAAAUCCCAUCAAAACAAUAACAUAAUAUGAUUUUCUAUGUCAUCCAUUUUUCAUGGCCCUGAUAAAGAGCCUGCUUCUACUUAUAUCUUCAAAGAUAUUUCUCCAUGGAAUGACAUCUCAGAAAUCCAUGCUAUAAUUCAGUAAAUCUUUUAUUUUGGCAAUGGUAAUAUUUUGUACUUGUUUCUGAAUAUGUGUUAUGAUCCCUUUAGAUCAGAUCUUUUGUGAAAUACAAAAGCCAUCCUAUUUUCUCUAAAUCUUUAAUCAAGGAUUUACAUAGAGUAUGCUUUAAACAAAUGUUAUUUGUGGUAAUAUGGGCCCUUAAUGAAAUAAUCCAGCAAUAAAUAAAUAUUUUAAUUACUUAGAAAAUUCAAAUAAAUGAUGUCAAGCUAUACCUAGGCUAAAUUAUACUAUGACCAUUGCUUGACUAUAUUAUGUCACUUAUAUUCUGCUACCAUUUACUUGCAUGCUAUUGCCUCAGAUUCGGAUUUUCUACGUUUCAAUAGCUCAGGAAGGUGCAUACAUGUAAGCAGAACAUCUAAUUAAAAGAAUAUUAUUUCCAAAUGUGCUUUUGAAUUUAUAUGUGGAAUCGUGUUAACUGUUCACAAAUAGGAAAGGCAGAAGUCCAUUUCGGGAAUAACAUCCGAUUUCUUUGAAAAUUAUCUUAUGGACCUAUUAGAACAGAUCAGGGCAAAGUGGUAUGUGAUAGGUGAAUAGUAUUAGAAACCUUGGGAGUCAAAUGUUGAAUCAAAGGGAAUUCAAAAAGUGGUUCAGAAUAAACCACUGUCAACAAAUCGCCAUGAAGUGUGAUGAUAUUGAAAGAAAAAAUUGGAAAACCCAGACCGAAUGAUAAAAUAGUUAAUCCCUAAAGUGCCUGGCAGAGGAAAGAAAGUUCAAGCUAAAUCAAUGUAGUAUCUUUCCUCAGCUAAUGUAUUAACUUAUGAGGAGGCUAGAUAUUGAAUUUUUAGUCCAGAUCUUUCACAGUUUUUUCUAGAGAGAAGAAUAUUGGACAGUUUUCUACUUAUAUGUGAUAUGUUUAUGAAAUAGUGGAAGAUGUAUAAUGUUGAUGUAAAUAUAAUUUUCUUUUUUUAAAUGUGUAUUAAAAUUGCCUAAAUUAAUGUGUAGGAUGCUGGCAUUUGGCAUACAGGAUUCAGCUUUGCAGAAUAAGGACAAAUGAUCUCUCCAAUAGUGAUAACAAAUAUUGAUAAAAAACCACUGUGGAGUGAUCAUUUAAAAAUAUGUAGAAAAAUUACCUAAAAGUUCUGGGAGAAUUUGCAACCAUAAAUUGCUUAAUCAGUGUGCAAAUAAGUUUGCGAUCUCGGCUCACUGCUAACUCCGCCUCUCGGAUUCAAGCGAUUCUCUUGCCUCAGCCUCCCUAGUAGCUGGGACUACAGGCGCCCACCGUCGUGCCCAGCUAAAUUUUUUUUUUUCUUUUUUUUUUGUAAUAGAGACGGGGUUUCUCCAUGUUGGUCAGGCUGGUCUCAAACUCCCGACCUCAGGUGAUCCGCCCUCCUCGGCCUCCCAAAGUGCUGGGAUUACAAGUGUGAGCCAACACGCCCGGCCGUAUAUUUUACUUUUUUAGCAUAACCGUCAAGAAGAGAUUUGAAAUGAAUAGAUAUAUUUUAUUGUUGAUGUAUUAUAUAAAUUUUUAAUGGCUAGAUGAUGAUUUCUGGAAUUAUUUGAAUGCAUCUUGACAAAAAGAAAAGCUUUCUAGAGCUUACUCAUGAACAAAUGAUUGGUCAAAAUAACAAAAAUGAAUAAAAAGGAAAUUCAUUAUACUUUCAUAACAAUUUUUUUUAGUCAUGUGUAAAGUAUUACUGAAAGAAUCAAUAUAUGUCUUGUUUUUUCCAAAUGUAAUUAUUCAUGGUUUUAAAUCACUAUGGCUACAUCACAGUAUUCUAAUUGACUGUAGUAAAUUCCUUUUUAGAGGAAAUAACCUAUCUAAAAGUGGUUUGUUACUAAAAUUUAAAAUAAUAAACAGAAAAUUGUAUUAUCCAAUUAGUUGUAUAUUCCCACUGAAAUAAAUCUUGCUCUCAAUUUCCAAUACAGCAGGUAAUUUCAAGGUUGUAUUAAAUAUGGAGCAGCUGGAGGUUGCCAAAUGAAUGUUUUGAAUGAGUACAUUUUAGUGAAGUGUGUACUAUCUUUUUUGACAUGCAUGUAAUCAUAACACAUUUUCUGGCAGCUGGGUUCCCUAGGGCAAAAUGAAGCUGCAAUAGAAGAUAAAACAACCUGCUUAUGUAAUGACCAUAAAAUAGUAUGUAUAUAUUUCUGAAAAAUGUCUCAAUCGGAUGACUGACUCUAGCUGAGGUCUUAUUUUACAGUUCGCAUCAGUGAAGCAUUUUCAAAAUCCUGGGUAUCUCGCUCUUUUAAACUAAAUCUGAAAUUUUAUUUAACAAGUGAACAAAAUUUCUUAAUAAAAUGUUUUCUAAAUAAAAAGAUAAAAUGAUUUUAGUAAUUUUAAUUUAUCCUGCCACAAGUAUAUGGAACCAAAGUCAUACAGGGUUUGGCGUUUUUUUUUUUUUAAUUUUAAUCAUAAAUUCAGUCUUAGAAUUUGAAUGAAUACAUGGGGAAAGUAUUUUUGUGUGAAAUACUCGUUAGAAAUGGCUUUCUUCCCCCAGAAAAGCCUAUAGUAAGCCACUGGGUUUGAAUAGUAUGAAUAGUAGUUUUGUUUUGUUUUGUUUUAAUUUCCCAGAGUCAAACUUUACCAGUAAAACAAAAAGUACACAAGUGAGUAAAACUUCCUGAGGUCUGGGACAUGCUGCAUGACUGCCCACAUCCUUUCUCACCACAUCAAAGUCAUGCUUUCUGGACCAGAAUAAUAGAUAAGUCCUGUAAGUGGGCAUUUGUGGUUUAUUUCGUAUCACUCUGUUGAGAGCAUUUAAGUUAUGAAACAUAUCUUCUUUAUAUCUUAGAGAAUUAUUUAGCUUACAUGAUAUUCUCCAGGGAUGACCAUAGUGAUUUUUAUUCAUAAGGACUAUCACAUGUUUUAUUUAACAAAUUUAAAAAGGUUACCUACAUUUAUACCUUUUUGCAUCAGGCUUUCUACUCUUAUUCAUCACGUCUCUUCCUGAUCUGCAUUAGUGUUGUGUACAUUUAAUAUUUGAGAAUGUGUAAUUAUACUGUAGAAGGAGAAAAAUAUACAAGAUAGAUGAAAUUUAUAAGAUAUCCUGGUAUAGAAAAUUCAUAUUCCAGCAGAUUUCAAAAUAUAAGUUAACAUAAAAUGCUUUUAGUAUGUAUACUAAUGUGGGACAUUACAGAAACAGGCAAAAUGCAUUGAAUAGAUGAUAAUACAUUUAGGAAAAAUAUCCAUGAUUUUCAGAUGAGUAAUAACAAAAAAGAAGAAGCCUAGCAGCAUAUAGGUUAUAAUAUUAAAUGACGGAAAGAGAAAGAGUAAAAAAAGCCAAAGGCAAAUAAAAAUUCUAAUAGAUAUAUUAACUCUCACACACAGAACUUGGUAUUUGGGAGACAAUAACAGAAAAGAGUGUGACAUUUCGAGAGGUUUGAGUUUCUUGAAAACAUUUAGUUAUUCAUAUUUUUGGGAGGUACAUAUCUAUAUUUCUAUUUUUCUAAAAUAUGUUUAAUUAUAAAGGCACUACAAUUAUUAGCAUACUGAUAUUGACAAUAUUUUCUAAAUGUUUAAAUACACUAUAUAUUUCUGACUGUAUUAAUUUUUCCUUUCUAAUGUCAACA